GGUAACAGGUAGCUUGCUAUGCUGACGACCGGCGCACGGGUGAGUAACGCGUAUACAAUCUACCUUGUACUGAGGGAUAGCCCAGAGAAAUUUGGAUUAAUACCUCAUAGUAUAUGGUCUUCACCUGAAGAUUAUAUUAAAGGUUACGGUACAAGAUGAGUAUGCGUUCUAUUAGCUAGAUGGUAAGGUAACGGCUUACCAUGGCGACGAUAGAUAGGGGCCCUGAGAGGGGGAUCCCCCACACUGGUACUGAGACACGGACCAGACUCCUACGGGAGGCAGCAGUGAGGAAUAUUGGACAAUGGGCGAGAGCCUGAUCCAGCCAUGCCGCGUGCAGGAUGACUGCCCUAUGGGUUGUAAACUGCUUUUAUACAGGAAGAAACACUCCCUCGUGAGGGAGCUUGACGGUACUGUAAGAAUAAGGAUCGGCUAACUCCGUGCCAGCAGCCGCGGUAAUACGGAGGAUCCAAGCGUUAUCCGGAAUCAUUGGGUUUAAAGGGUCCGUAGGUGGAUAAUUAAGUCAGAGGUGAAAUCCUGCAGCUCAACUGUAGAAUUGCCUUUGAUACUGGUUAUCUUGAGUUAUUAUGAAGUAGUUAGAAUAUGUAGUGUAGCGGUGAAAUGCAUAGAUAUUACAUAGAAUACCAAUUGCGAAGGCAGAUUACUAAUAAUUAACUGACACUGAUGGACGAAAGCGUGGGGAGCGAACAGGAUUAGAUACCCUGGUAGUCCACGCCGUA
rnacentral:rRNA from 1 species